rnacentral:lncRNA from 1 species
CAGGCACCAUUCCUAGGAGACCACAAGGAUCGUUAUUGUUCAGGAUUUCAAAGAGCCAUCAUUUAUGUUUGUGGACACAAGUGAAUGGACAAUGGUGCCCCAAUCAUCUGUUCAAGCUGUUUGAAAGAAAGGCUUCUGUACAAAUGGCAUGAAAGAUUACAAACCUGAUGUCCCUUUGUCAGCCCUGCCUAGAAUCUGCAGAAUCUGAACUGUUCCUCUGCCACACAACUCUGUUUCAUUCUGAACUCCAGAACAGUCAAGCGUCAAAUAUCACAACUGAUGUGUGAAUUCAAGACUGUGCUAAGCUCUCCUCCCUUUUAAGCCUUGACUCAAACUAAGAUGGAAAACUGACAAAAGGG